GACGAACGCUGGCGGCGUGCCUAAUACAUGCAAGUAGAACGCUGAAGAGAGGAGCUUGCUCUUCUUGGAUGAGUUGCGAACGGGUGAGUAACGCGUAGGUAACCCGCCUGGUAGCGGGGGAUAACUAUUGGAAACGAUAGCUAAUACCGCAUAAAAUUGAUUAUUGCAUGAUAAUUAAUUGAAGGAUGCAAUUGCAUCACUACCAGAUGGACCUGCGUUGUAUUAGCUAGUUGGUGAGGUAACGGCUCACCAAGGCGACGAUACAUAGCCGACCUGAGAGGGUGAUCGGCCACACUGGGACUGAGACACGGCCCAGACUCCUACGGGAGGCAGCAGUAGGGAAUCUUCGGCAAUGGGGGGAAACCCCUGACCGAGCAAACGCCCGCGUGAGUGAAAGAAAGGUUUUUCGGAUUCGUAAAAGCUUCUGUUGUAAAGAGAAGAAACCGGG
rnacentral:rRNA from 1 species